rnacentral:rRNA from 1 species
CAGGGAAUAUUGCACAAUGGGCGAAAGCCUGAUGCAGCGACGCCGCGUGGGGGAUGAAGGCCCUAGGGUCGUAAACCCCUUUCAGUAGGGACGAAAAUGACGGUACCUACAGAAGAAGGUCCGGCCAACUACGUGCCAGCAGCCGCGGUAAGACGUAGGGACCAAGCGUUGUCCGGAUUUAUUGGGCGUAAAGAGCUCGUAGGCGGUUGCGUAAGUCGGAUGUGAAAACUUGGGGCUCAACCCCGAGACGCCAUCCGAUACUGCGCUGACUUGAAUCCAGUAGGGGAGUGUGGAAUUUGUUGUGUAGCGGUGAAAUGCGCAGAUAUAACAAGGAACACCUAUGGCGAAGGCAGCACUCUGGGCUGGUAUUGACGCUGAGGAGCGAAAGCGUGGGUAGCAAACAGGAUUAGAUACCCCCGUAGUCC